GUAAGUUAUGAGUUUCGUUCCCGAUAGGAUAAACAGGGAACAGUUACGUCAAAUUCUGAUGAUGUAACGGUUCUUUUUGUUUAGAGGCCUUGUAACCGGAAUUUAUUAGAUGGGGGAAAUCUUUUAUG
rnacentral:sRNA from 2 species